GGGGAGACGCUCGUUCUGGAUUUACAGUUUCUCCUCAGACAAGUGUUUCUGUUUUGUGGUCGAUUCUGGGGUAAGUUUCCUUAAAUUCGUGGUUACUUUAUUGAAAUUAGUUCACAGGGAUGUUAAUUCAGUUGUCAGUAUAUGUCGAUACGACUAAUAAAUGAUCAAUUUGAAUGUUUAUCGUUUGUUAGUAAUGUUAGCUCGAGCGCUGUCAGCUUGACUGAGCUCGUCGCGCAGGUGACGAGCAGCUUACGGCUAGCCUGAUUGAGCUCGUGGCACAGCUGUGAGCUAGCAGUUAACAUCCUUUUCUUGGUGUGUCUUGAUGUUUUCUAUUGGCUAAAGACAUGUCUCUGUGAAACUGACAAUAUCAGGUAGGAGCUGCUGGUUUGUGGUUGGCAGUAUGGAUCACGGUCUGCGACUCAUGAGGAGCUGGUCUGGAGACAUGAAGAGGUUGUCAACAGAGGUCUGAAGCUAAUACCUGCCAUGGUCUGAUUGGUAUUUCAUGAGGAAUCAUGGGUUCCUUGGUAUUUGAAUUAUGUUGAACCAGGAAAGUACUCCAUCUUUCGAUCAUGUGUUCUGUCUGCUUACACAUUCCUAGCCAGAAUAACAUUUCGUGCUCUUAGCUUAGACUUCUCAGCGUGUGCGCAUAUCUCAGGUCAGAUAUGACUAUUUUCUAAUCUUCACUGGUCAAUGAAAGUUUGUCUUAAAAGUCAAUAAUGUAUGUGGGAAAUUGUCUCCUCUUUGCAGGCCAUCCAUCCAAGAUCAUCUAUCUGAGCUGCUGAAAACUGCCUCGGUACGGAUCUGUUGGAGCUUUGUGUCACUGACUGAAUUUCUGCAAAUUCCUGUUUCGUGUCAUAUUGCUUAUGCAAGACUGAAUCCAUAAAGGUGAUGGUCUGUGGAGACUGUGGGGGAUUCCUUCUGCUGUCAUUUAAACAUGAGCAGGAGUAAUGACGGGUUUAAAUGGACGCAACUAAUAUUAUGUCAGAGUCCGCUGCUUAUGCUGUAACCAUAAAGCAACCAGGACAACACACCUGGAGUGACCGAGAGCAGGAUGAAGGAGGAAUCGGAUGAGAAAAUGUCAACUGGUGCCCAUGAAGAGACAUAUUGUUCUUGGACCUGCUUUUUAUGUUUAGUAAUAAGUGGUUUUAUGUGGUUAAAAAAAAGUAAUUUAAUAUUAAUAUUUAAUAUUUUAAUAUUCACUCCAAAAUGGUCUAGUAUUGUCACUUAACUUAUGCUGCUUGACUUCUCAGCAUAAAGAUCAUUAUUAAAUUAAUAUUAAAUAUUUCAAAUUUAGAAAUAGGCUACCCCAUGCCAUCUAAUAAAGAAGUGGGUACUCCCUGCGUGUCGUGUACCCAGCACUACACCAUAUGGCAUCAUUGAUGUCUGUUGUAAGUAGAUAUAUAACUGUUAUUAAAUAAUUAUAUUGUAUUUCUUUCUAUUUAAGUCCAAGUUCAAAAUAAAACUCUAUAAACCUCUCCAUUGUGAAAUGGUUUAUAUACAUUCACGGUUUAUAGAGUUUUAUUUUGAACUUGGACAUAAAUACGAAAAAAUAUAAUAUAAUUAUUUAAUAAAAAGUUAUAUAUCUACUAACAGCGGACAUCAAUGAUGCCAUAUGGCCCGGCAUUGAAUUGACCCCUCAGAUCUGAUUUGUGCAUUUUUGUAUUCAUGGUUAAAAUGUUCAACUUUUUGAUUGUAAUAAUAAUUUAACCUUAUCCCCAUAUGGGAUUUAAAAUGUUCAGUGACAUUACUGUCAGAUUCAAACGUCUUUCGCGCUGAGCCAGACGGACGAGCUCAGCGCUGUCAUAUAGCAACAUGCAGUGUUUUCAACCUCAUAAUGUUUAUUUUAGAUUUCAGACAUUUAAAUACACAUAAGCACUGGUAAAACAA